AGAAUCAACGCUGGCGGCGUGCCUAACGCAUGCAAGUCGCACGAGAAAGGGUAGCAAUACCUGAGUACAGUGGCGCACGGGUGAGUAACACGUGAAUAAUCUACCUCCGAGUGGGGAAUAACUGAGAGAAAUCUUAGCUAAUACCGCAUAACACUUACGGGUCAAAGCAGCAAUGCGCUUGGAGAGGAGUUCGCGGCAGAUUAGUUAGUUGGCGGGGUAAUGGCCCACCAAGACGAUGAUCUGUA
rnacentral:rRNA from 1 species